CCUACGGGUGGCAGCAGUGAGGAAUAUUGGUCAAUGGACGAGAGUCUGAACCAGCCAAGUAGCGUGAAGGAUGACUGCCCUAUGGGUUGUAAACUUCUUUUAUAUGGGAAUAAAACGUUCCACGUGUGGGAUUUUGUAUGUACCAUAUGAAUAAGGAUCGGCUAACUCCGUGCCAGCAGCCGCGGUAAUACGGAGGAUCCGAGCGUUAUCCGGAUUUAUUGGGUUUAAAGGGAGCGUAGGUGGAUUGUUAAGUCAGUUGUGAAAGUUUGCGGCUCAACCGUAAAAUUGCAGUGGAAACUGGCAGUCUUGAGUACAGUAGAGGUGGGCGGAAUUCGUGGUGUAGCGGUGAAAUGCUUAGAUAUCACGAAGAACUCCGAUUGCGAAGGCAGUUCACUGGACUGCAACUGACACUGAGGCUCGAAAGUGUGGGUAUCAAACAGGAUUAGAUACCCUAGUAGUC
rnacentral:rRNA from 1 species